CCCUUCGAUGUUCUGGGCUGCACGCGCGCUACAAUGACAAUGUCAGCGAGUUUUUUAGCUUGUGCGAGAGCACUGGCAAAUCUUAGAAACGUUGUCGUACUAUGGAUUGCUGAUUGCAAUUAUUCGGCAUGAAACAGGAAUACCUAGUAGGUGUGGUUCAUCAGACUACGCCGAUUACGUCCCUGCCCUUUGUACACACCGCCCGUCGCUCCUACCGAUUGAAACAUACGGUGAAAAUCUCGGAGGGGGAAGUUCUUGUUUGGGAGUUUCUCUCAGGCUCCUGUCCCCAAAGUUAUUUAAAUCUCAUGUUUUAGAGGAAGGAGAAGUCGUAACA
rnacentral:rRNA from 1 species